CCGUCGUGUCUAGUAGUUGGGUGACUAAUGGGUUGUGGUGGUUAUUGACUCUUGUGUUAUAUCUGCUUCUGGACUUGUGUAUUUCAUUUUUGACUGUAGGUAUCUUGAGGUCGCGGUGGAUUGUCUCGUUGAUAACAUACCAGGGUACAUUUAUUAGGGAUCUUAGCGUUUUCGUUUGGAAGCGUUGGAGUAUUUCAAUGUUGGAAUUACUUGCUGUUCCCCAUAGUUGGAUUCCGUAGGUCCAAACAGGUUUUAUUACGGUCUUAUAGAGCGUAAUUUUGUUCUGCGUGCUUAGGUUGGAGCGACGGCCAAUGAACCAAUAAAAUUUUUUGAGUUUGUCCUUAAGUUGUUUCGAUUUGUCUGUGAUGUGUUGUUUCCAUGUUAAUCUCCUGUCCAGAGUCAUGAUUGGGCAUUAUUGAAGUAGUCUUUUUUCUUGUAGAGUCAUUAACGAAAACGAAGGUUUAAAGAAUAACAAAACUUUAAUUUUACCUCAAUAAAUUUUAUUAAACUCUACCCUUACAAAACUACUCUAAAGAUUCUCCCUUUAUAAAUUUUGUAUAGAAGUAAUAAUUACACUUUUCCUAACAGAAAGGUAUAUUAAGACAAGUAAAUAAAUAAAUAAAGAUAGAUCAAUUCUCUGUACAUUUUUCUAAUUUCUAGAUGAUUUUCUUUUCAUCUGUCUAAUACUCUUUCAAUAUUUCGUUUAAGUAAUUUUUUCAUUUAAUAGGAUACUCGCAUUAAAAUAACCCUACUGCAAUUUAAUCAUAUAGAGAGGAACUAAACGAAUCAAACAAUGAGGUCGAAUACGUGAAACAACGCAAAUGUACGAUAACUAAGGAAAUUCACAAGUAUGUAUUCGUUAUCAGUUAGGAAAAUUUUACGCCUAUCUUUUGUUAAAAAUAAACUCGUUUUGUAAUUGUGAGAGCAAGCAACGUGUUUAAUCUAUAUAUAUGCUGUUAAAUCCCGUUUCUAAUAAUUCAUAACUUGGUCCAUCACGAGAUUGUGGUUAGUAUUUGCGUUCAAUGUGCAGAAAAUGAACAAGCUAGAAACAAGAAUGUAGCGAGAAUGAAAAAGUUAAGGAUAUGAAGGAAAGCCGUUCCCCAAGAGUAAUCUGAGUCUUCGAAUUUUUUAUUGAAUAUAUACAGAUUCACAGAUCAGUGGCAUCAAAAAGUAUCGUUCUAAUUAUAAAUUCUUCAAACAUUUUUAAAUAUUAAGUUUAGACUUUUUUAAAUUAAAAAUAAUAUGUUUGGGAUACUUGGAAAUAUUUCUGAGAAUAAAACUGAGAAUAAAAUUUUAGAUUUUGAACUUUCACAAUGAUUAAGAUGACAUAUUUGUGAUUCUUCGGGUUUCAUUUAGUGUUUCACUAAUAGGGAUUCAACACAAGUAGUAUUAUUCGUACAUUGUACUUUGUUCCGACGUUUUAUGAACAUUCUGAAACAAGUGGUGUUCAACCCAUUCAUUACAGAACAACUGGAAUCCAGAAUCGUCACUAAACGUAAUAAGAUUGAGACUUAAAAAAUCACAAAUAUGUCAGCUUCCAAUUUGUUAUGGCUACGGAUAAAAUAAAUGGCUAUUGUUUGUUACAAAAGCAAUGUUCUUUAUCAAAAAAGUAACAAAAUAAAACCUCUUCCUUAAAAGAAAAGGAAAACCUCUGCCUCACCAAAUCGACCAUACUGUUCUAUAUCUAGUUUCGUAGAUACCCGAUCAGAUUCACUCUAAGAAUUAUCGACUGUUAUCUCUCUUCGGUUCUUAUGAUAACUAUCAUAUUUGUCAAGGUGGAGACGUUUUUGAGAUCUCAAGGUGACCUUUGUUUUUUUAAAUGGAACUAUAUGUUUUCAUUUAGCCAGGUUUGUAGCCCAGUCAGAAACAAAUUCUUUAAUCUAAAUAUGAUAGUAUUUCAAAGUCAUUUAAGAUCAUUUACUGCCAUUCAGAAUUUACCUUCGUUGAACUUCUGGAAGUUGUUCUUUACCUUUCAUAUUCAAAAUGAUGAUCUUAAAUGUAAAACAUAGUUGUACUCUCUCCAAUGUGUCAGAAAUAAUUUGUUGGCAGGCAUCUCUUAUAGGAUUUUCCAUAUCAUCAGGGUUGUUGGGUUCUUUCCGAUACACCUGACCUUUUUUAAGAUAAAAUCUAGAGACAUUAAAUCUGGAAACCUUGAUAGGAAGGGUUCACUGCUUCCUGUUCCUACCCAACAAUCGGAAAAUUGACAAUGUUUUGUGAAACUUUUUCUUUUUUUAUUUAUUUAGUUUUUACUUUACAAUUUGUCCAACUGGACAUUUGAUAAAUUGUUCUAACUCAUGAAACUUCUGUUUGUAAACAAAAGUAUCUAUAAUCCAAAUAGUUAGUGUAAGUUUGAAUCAUGUUUACAACCGUAUCAACGAAAUAUUGUGAAGAACAACGUGUGGAUGUUCAACAAAGGUAAAUUUUGAACGACAGUAAAUGAUCUUGAAUGACCUUAAAACACUAGCAUAUUUAGAUUAAUAAAUUCCUUUCGGACAGAACUACAAACCUGACUAAAUGAAAAAGAUAAUUCCAUAUAGAAAACCAAAGGUUACCCUGAGAUAUCGAAAAUGUCUCUACCUAGAUAGAUCUGGUAGUUACUAUAAGAUGUUCCUCUCGAAGCAAAGUAGGUUUUACUUGGGACAUUCUUUUCUGCAACAAAUAGUUUAGGAGAUAACUGCGUGGUUCGCUUCAAAUGGCAUACCCUCUUUCUCUUUCUUAUAAUUUUAUUAUAAAUAUUUUCUUUUUUUGUACAUUACAUAAAAACACAGUAGUAGCAUACGUAUACACUGUACAAAAUGAUACUUUCAGCUGACAGUGAAUUAUUAUAUUUAAAUUUUUGAGAAGUUAAAAAUUACAUGCGAAUUGUUCUGAAGAAUCUGUGGUAUAUCUUUAACAAAAAUUCCAUUACAAACUCAUUACAAGCCAAGUGAUUUAUCGAGUCUUUUAAUUAAUAAACUCGACCGAUAAGUGACGGCGUAUGUAUGAAAAUAUUUACACAAUAUCUGAUUUCCAUUUGCUACUGAUACGUUUGUUUUUAUGACAUCGAAUGAAACACCGUUGAUACGUGCUCACAAUCAGUGUUCGGUCUGCUCGUGCUGAAUAUCAGUAUCUCAUUUACGUUCGUUCUUUCUCCUUUUCUCAUUUGAAUUUGAAUUCUUUUCUUAUUCGAACAUCUUGAUAAGCAUUCGCAUAAUGCCGAAUUGCAGAAUGUUUUGUGAGCAGUAUUUUUCCAGUUACCUACUCUUAUUUUGCCCAACGUAAAACAUUCCUUACCAUGGAACAGUUUUAGUCUAAGGUUUGAAAUGCAGCG